rnacentral:lncRNA from 10 species
ACACUUGCACCACCUCCUCCUGGAAGCUUAGAACCUUUCUCCAAACUAGGAUUAUUCCCUCCUAAGACCUCUCACAUCUUUUAGCUUGUGCCUUUUUUGCAGGUGCUUUGAUUCCACUUGUACUUCAACCAUCUGUGAGCUACUUCUAUUCUCUUUAGGAGACUGGCAACUCCCUAAAGGCAGAGGAUGAAUUGGGGGAUAAUUGGCCACCAUUACUGAGUGUCUACUUUGCCUUGCUCUGCACCUGUGGAUCCUCCGAACAAGGAAGCUUAGUUCUUCUUCUGCCCAUUUUGUAGGGGAGGAAACAGUGGAAACUCAGAGGUGCAGACAUUUGCCUAAGGAUAUACAGAAGAUAAGGAGCAGAGCUGACAUCAGAACUCAAGCUUGCAAAUGUGUAUGCGGGCCACCAUGCCACAUCUGCCACCUCUCUCACAGCACUGCUGGGGGAACAGGAGAAGCAUUGGAGGUGGCAGGCUUUGCCUUACUACACAUGGCAUAUGCAUUUUAAAUAAGGACUUUGAUCUGGAAGCAGGAGAGCAUAUUUAUUGCCUCAACUCAGCUUGAUUUGGGCUCUUCUGUCCCACAAAUGACACCAACCCUCACUGGCCUGAAGACCUUGCCUGAAAGAGAAAGAGCAGUGGCAUGAAGUCAGAAGAGGUGCGUUUACCUGCCAGCUUUGCCUCUGUCUGU